rfam:Pan troglodytes isolate Yerkes chimp pedigree #C0471 (Clint) chromosome 11, whole genome shotgun sequence.
UAUUAGGUUGGUGCAACAGUAGUUGUGGUUUUUGCCAUUGAAAGUAAUGGCAAAAAACUGCAAUUACUGUUGCACCAACUUAAUA